rnacentral:tRNA from 2 species
GCGGGAGUAGCUCAGUGGUAGAGCAUUUGCUUCCCAAGCAAUGGGUCACUGGUUCGAUCCCCAACUCCCGCUCCA